GUGUGUGUGUGUGUGUGUGUGUGUGUGUGUGUGUGUGUGUGUGUGUGUGUGUGUGUGUGUGCUGGUAACUCUGAUUUAUUUAGACUCUACACAGUGUGUAAUCAGUAAUAGUAAUAAUAAUAAUAAUAAUAAUAAUAAUAUGAAACAUUUCUGAAGAUUUCUCACAUCACACUGAUGAAUAAAAGCGACGAGAACACAGUCAGAGCGAACGCUGCUACAAGGAGCUGAAAAGAAAAGUGAGGAUUCGUUUUUAAUCAAAGAAUUAUUCUAGAUAGUUAUAAAUAUAAGUUAGAAACACUCAAAGAUGAAUAUUACAACAUAAAUAAAAGACAGGCACUGGAGAAAAGGAGGAAUAGAGGGAUAAAGAGUAGAGAAAGGGUGAAAAAAGAAAGAAUAUACAUACACACACACACACACACACACACACACACACACACACACACACAUAUAUAUAUAUAUAUAUAUAUAUAUAUAUAUAUAUAUACACAUAUUAAAUAUACAUAAAUAUACAUUCCUAAAGAAGCACUGUAUUUGUAAUGAGCUGAAAGGGUUGGAGGGAUAGAAGAUCUUUUUGUUGUUGUUGUUGUUUAAAAUGAAAAGAAUAGAUGGAGGGAUUGUAGAAAGAAAAAGUAAGUGAUGCAUAAAAAAAUGCUACAAAGAAAGAGAGAACAGACAAUGAGAAGAGAGAAAAAAAACAAAGAAUAGAAUAUGAGACACAAAUGAAAGAAAGCAAAAAACAAAGAAACAAACAAACAAAGGGGAGAAAAGAAUUAGAGAAAGAAAGAAAGAAAGAAAAAUAAAAGAAGAGAAUGAAAAAGAAAUAAACAAACAAUAAAGAGAGAACAGAGAAUGAGAACAGAAGAAAAAGGAAAGAAACAUACCAAAGAGAGAACAGAAUGAGAGAAAGAAUGAAAGAAGCAAAUAAAAGAAGAGAAUCAAAAGAAACAAACAAACAAAGGAGAGAACAGAGAUUGAGAAACAAAGAAAAAAAACAGAAAAAAAGCGAACAGAGAACGGCGAAUGAGAACAGAAGGAAAAAGAAAGAAAUGAACAGAGGAAGAAAGAAAGAAAGAGUUUGUGUUUAUGAAUAAUUUGCGCUUCCUGUGGUGGCGUUGCGAGCGUCGUGAUUGGUCAGUGAGAGCAGUGUGUUUGAACAUCACUACUGUGACGUUGUAAAUGAAUGAAAAACGUCUCAUGUGUUGAAUCUUUGUUGUUGUUUGCCUGUGUUUCCGUGGGGAAGUCUGAGCGUUUGAGCGGUUUUGAAGUUGAAACCGGUUCAGACGAGUAAUAACCGCAGCAGAGCGCCAUGUGUGUAUGUUUACAACGCAGCGUACACGUCUCCUCCUGCUUCACAGCGUUCAGCGGGUUUAUCUUCCACACGGACGAACUGCGAGAAAACGCAGAGGAACACAUGAUUCGCAGUGUGUGACUCGACCUGUUCCUGUCCCUGCGUUUUUAACCAGUCGUGUUCAGAUGGUGUCGCGUCCAUCCUGUUUACCAGAACGUUCCACAUGCACGGCUCUCUCGCGUGGCAUCCGUGACUCUGCAAGCCGACAUUUUCACGAGUCGUUAACGAACGUGGCUAUUUCCUCAGUAUCACAUGCAUGAAGAACCCAUGGAAUUUCGGUUAGCGCUCGAUGCUACGUGUCACUACAGUGUAGAUGUAGUUGUAUGAAGUGUUUUUUAAAUAAUUUAUCAACACAUCUGAGGAAAACGUCGAUAUUCCGCACAGUUUGGUGUCAUUUCUACUCUCGCUGCAUCUUUAUUAUUGUCUGGAUCUACUAGCUAGACCAAUCAUUCGCCUGAGUUUUAGCAAGGUGGCUGUAAUUUGUGCUCUCACAGCUGAUUGGCUGUCGGCUGGUCAGCCCAUGUGACAUCAUCGGCAGUUGGCAGUAGGAAUUCAGAUUCUGGAACGUUCCAUAGGUGUAUCGUAGGGGGAAACUUUCCCGCCAUUUUUAUCUGUUCGUUGUUUAUAAAUGAAGAAAUGUUCUCGCAGAACUCUAGAAAACGUGAUUGAACAGAACCUGCUAAAGAACUACACCGCUUUUUCAGCCUGGUAUUCAUUUAUAUAGUGCUGUUUAUCAAACACAGUUUAUCAAAAAUGUUCUUUUUUUUUUUAUCCAAAUACUUACAUUUGUCUGUACAGGUGAAUGAGUUGUUGCUAUAGAAACGAUAACGUAUUAUAACAAGCGCAUUAAUGUGAAGCUGUGAUUGGAGCUGCGCUACUGUCAGAGCUGCUGUUAUAGAGAAUGAAUCAACACCUCCUGACCAAUCAGAAUCCGUCAGCGCUGUGAUGUCAGAACUCUUUACAGUGGCUUUACUGAGACUUUAUGGUCAUUAUUUACUGUUUACAGCGAUGUUUUAGGGUUAUGUUUAUCCGCAUCCUGAAAUAUAUCAAUCAGAGAUUGAACACACACACACACACACACACACACACACACACACACGUGGUGGUGCGGGUUGUAGCAGGUUGAUGGUUACAGGAAACAGGGUGUCUGAU
ensembl:lncRNA